rnacentral:rRNA from 1 species
CAGUAGCCGCGGUAAAACGUAGGCGGCAAGCGUUGUCCGGAAUUAUUGGGCGUAAAGGGCUCGCAGGCGGUUUCUUAAGUCUGAUGUGAAAGCCCCCGGCUCAACCGGGGAGGGUCAUUGGAAACUGGGAAACUUGAGUGCAGAAGAGGAGAGUGGAAUUCCACGUGUAGCGGUGAAAUGCGUAGAGAUGUGGAGGAACACCAGUGGCGAAGGCGACUCUCUGGUCUGUAACUGACGCUGAGGAGCGAAAGCGUGGGGAGCGAACAGGAUUAGAUACCCGGGUAGUCCCUGUCUCUUAUAC